CGAUGAUCCGCGUGCUUGCAUCGGGGAUUAGUGGCGAACGGGUGAGUAACACGUGAGUAACCUGCCCUUAACUCUGGGAUAAGCCUGGGAAACUGGGUCUAAUACCGGAUAUGACUCCUCAUCGCAUGGUGGGGGGUGGAAAGCUUUUGUGGUUUUGGAUGGACUCGCGGCCUAUCAGCUUGUUGGUGAGGUAAUGGCUCACCAAGGCGACGACGGGUAGCCGGCCUGAGAGGGUGACCGGCCACACUGGGACUGAGACACGGCCCAGACUCCUACGGGAGGCAGCAGUGGGGAAUAUUGCACAAUGGGCGGAAGCCUGAUGCAGCGACGCCGCGUGAGGGAUGACGGCCUUCGGGUUGUAAACCUCUUUCAGUAGGGAAGAAGCGAAAGUGACGGUACCUGCAGAAGAAGCGCCGGCUAACUACGUGCCAGCAGCCGCGGUAAUACGUAGGGCGCAAGCGUUAUCCGGAAUUAUUGGGCGUAAAGAGCUCGUAGGCGGUUUGUCGCGUCUGCCGUGAAAGUCCGGGGCUCAACUCCGGAUCUGCGGUGGGUACGGGCAGACUAGAGUGAUGUAGGGGAGACUGGAAUUCCUGGUGUAGCGGUGAAAUGCGCAGAUAUCAGGAGGAACACCGAUGGCGAAGGCAGGUCUCUGGGCAUUAA
rnacentral:rRNA from 1 species